rnacentral:rRNA from 1 species
UACGUAGGUGGCAAGCGUUGUCCGGAUUUACUGGGCGUAAAGAGCGCGCAGGCGGUCGUUCAAGUCGCGUGUGAAAGCCCCCGGCUCAACUGGGGAGGGUCACGCGAUACUGAUCGACUCGAAGGCAGGAGAGGGUAGUGGAAUUCCCGGUGUAGUGGUGAAAUGCGUAGAGAUCGGAAAGAACACCAGUGGCGAAGGCGGCUUCCUGGACUCAUACUGACGCUGAGGCGCGAAAGCGUGGGGAGCAAACAGG